CCAGCAGUGUGAUUUCCAGGCAGGGAAGACAAGGUAAAGUAUGCUGAAAUUCUGCUGUGUUCACUUUUAGAUAAAACACGGAUUCAUGCUGCUGAAGUCCAUGGAGAUGCUAAAGUCAGUCAUGUAUAAACAGUGAUCUAUGAUCUAAAGUUUCAGGAGGGACGAAGAAUGCACAGUCCAAAAUGUUGGUCAUCUACCUGAGAAACACAUUAACAACAGGGAUCAGAAGAGCCUUUUGGCAUGAAGGUAAAAUGCUUUGAUGGUCAUCAGUCUUAGAUGACCUGAAAAGGAAUAGUUUUGUCUUCCCAUAUCCAGCCCAGGAUGAGACUGUGUAGCAGGAGAGGAUGCCAUUGUGAGAUUUGGAAGAGAUUUGAAUCCUGCUCUUAAUAUAAUGAGCCUAAAUCUUGAAUUUUGCAAAACAUUGAACAAAGUCAGAUGAGUCAAGAUGAGCGGCUCUUAAGAAGAAGUAACCAACAAAUAUUUUACACUGCAGGAAACUUUCAUCACUGGAGAAUAGGAAAAUUUUCCAUAGGAAUAAAGUGACUGAUUUCAAACCCAGUUAGCUGUUGACCCUGAUAGAUAUAUAUUCAGAUGAGGAGCUGAAGCGAUCAGCUUGGAUUUAACCUAUCUCAGGAAGUAUAGGGUAGUGCUAUACCCUGAAACACAAUUUGGUCAGUAAGUUGGAGUUUUGAAUGUAAUCCUUAUUUGAUUAUUUUAUUUUCUGAAGUUCUGUCAUCUCCUCUCCCUCCCUGUACAAUUUCAGGCUUUAAAGCUUUGCCCUGAGCUUCAAAUAGCAACUUCUAUUGCUAAUCAAAGCGACAGAAAAAGUGUAUUUAUGUAUGUUCCUGGACUAGUGCAAAGGUUAUUCUGUAACUUGUUUCUUCAGUGUGAACAUCACAUAAUCCAAGACUGUCACAUUUAGCCUUCCCUGAGGAGCAGGCUUUAUGGAGGGAAGCACUGAGGUUCUCUGAGCACCACAGACAGCAGCCCUCAAUGUGCCAGGACCAACACAGGCAAUGAGAAAUAGGAGGAUAUGAAUGUAGCUUAAAAUAUGCGUGUAAAACUGAAAGAAGGCACAGCGGGCUGGCAUCGUAUUCUCAUUCAUAUAGCUCCAGCUUUUUCUAUAGCAAACACUUUUCAACACUGUGCGUUGGAGAUGCACAACGCACAGCUCACGUGAGGCUCUCCCAAGUCAUAGAAUCAGAAUGUCCUGAGUUGGAAGGGACCCAGAAGAAUCAUCAAGUCCAACACUUGGCAUCACAUAGGACCACCCAAAAAUCAGACUGUACAUUUGAGAGUGUUGUUCUGACACUUCCUGAUCUCUGAUGAGCUUGAUGCCAUGACUGCUGCUCUGGGGAGCCUGUUCCAGUAUCCAGUCACCUCUGCUGAAGAAGCUUUUCCUGAUAUCCACCCUGACCCUUCCCUGUCAAGAGUCAGCUGUGUCUGUGGAAAUGAACCUGGUGGGGUUCAGAACUGGAUGGUAUGGGUAAGCUGUGAUUCUUCAGUUGGGUUCGUAUGGUAUUGGACAGAAGCUGUGCAGAGUUUCAUGCUUCGUUGGAAGAUAUUUCUGAUGAACUUCUAAUUCUUUGUGUCUACAGAGAAUGCAAUCCACAAGAGGUACCUGCUUCUUAUCACUGUCAGGAAGAAUGCUCUAGGCUGCUCAGAAACAAACAGCUCCUACAACUAAUGAGAACCCCAGUAGUACUUUAUUGUAGAAACAACCCCGUAGAAGUCUGUGUCACAGGGCAAUGACAUACAUGCUCAAAGACAGGUCGGUGCAGCUGGUUCUAGUACAUGAGACCCUCUCAUAGCUCUAACUUGUGAUUCAUCCAAUAGGAAAAUAUUUGGAUAACCUCUCUGUAGUAAGGGACUUUAAUUCAUGACUCAGACAUAUUGAAAUAUUAGGCACUUAUAUUCCAAUUAUUAACUGCUAUAAAAAGGCAUGUCUGACAUUUUUUUUUUCGCAG
rnacentral:lncRNA from 1 species